GGGGAUAACUGGUUUAGACAGCAGGUAGAACAGGUAUGUAAGCACGUCGGACACGAACACCGUCCGUAACAGGGUUCAAACAAUUAACUGGCGAAAAUACUUAUGCUCUCGCUGCUUAAUCGAAGUAUAGUAGAUUAGCUUCAUCCGGACACAAGGUGACCGGUCGAGACAUCGCUCCAAGCCGAGUCUGUGGGCUGAAAGGGUAUAGCGGUGCAGAAAUUCACAGAAUAGAUGUCGCGGGCUGCGACACGACAUCGAAACCUUUAGCAGAUAAGGCUGUGGUUGGUGGCUUGGGUCUUGCCACAGCACGAAAACGAAGGCCAAGAUAAGCGUGUAGAAAGCAUAUUGGUUCCUUGUUUGGACGCGGGUUCGAAUCCCGCUAUCUCCACUA
rnacentral:tmRNA from 1 species